AAGUCGUAACAAGGUUUCCGUAGGUGAACCUGCGGAAGGAUCAUUAACACGUUCUACGUAUCAACCCUUCGUGCUCUUUGUUUUAUCAGUAACCUGUCAGAGGGGAAUUUUCUCAACUAGAGUUUAUGAUGGAUUGGAGCUGGUGAGGCUCUUUUCAGUUAGAAAUAACUGUCAAGGGCUUUAGGCAAUCUGUUAUUUAUUCGUUUUCUUUCGUAAGAGAGAAAGGUUGGUCCCUUCGCUUAUGUACAGGUGUUUACGUUUCUCUCUCACCUCUCGAGGCGAAAACUUAUUAAUUUAAAAAUUUAACCCCUUGUAACUUUAUUUACUGACUAAUUAUGUUCUGACUUGUGCUUAACGGCCGAGCUCAAACAUUUAUUACGAAAUGCUGAACAACUCUUAGCAACGGAUAUCUUGGUUCUC
rnacentral:misc_RNA from 1 species